AUUGAACGCUGGCGGCAUGCUUUACACAUGCAAGUCGAACGGUAACAGGCCUUCGGGUGCUGACGAGUGGCGAACGGGUGAGUAAUGCAUCGGAACGUACCCAGAGGUGGGGGAUAACGCAGCGAAAGCUGUGCUAAUACCGCAUGUGAUCUGAUGAUGAAAGCGGGGGACCGAGCAGCAAUGUUUGGCCUCGCGCCUUUGGAGCGGCCGAUGUCGGAUUAGCUAGUUGGUUGGGUAAAGGCCUACCAAGGCGACGAUCCGUAGCUGGUCUGAGAGGACGACCAGCCACACUGGGACUGAGACACGGCCCAGACUCCUACGGGAGGCAGCAGUGGGGAAUUUUGGACAAUGGGCGCAAGCCUGAUCCAGCAAUGCCGCGUGAGGGAAGAAGGCCUUCGGGUUGUAAACCGCUUUUGGCAGGAACGAAACGGUGUCCGCUAAUACCGGGCGCUAAUGACGGUACCUGCAGAAUAAGCACCGGCUAACUACGUG
rnacentral:rRNA from 1 species